rnacentral:misc_RNA from 1 species
GAUUUCCAUGGCUACAAUGUUUUUGAAAUAUAGUGAUGAAAUGACUAGAAAUUGACCGGAAGCACAACAAUUAAGACAUAAACGUGCCAGCAAUCCUCCUUUCUUUCUUUCUGACCCCCUUCAAGGAAAACAAGAUAUAAAAUCUUAAAAAGUUACCACAGAAGAAAAAAAGGAAAAGAAGAGAUAAGAAACCCAAACACUGUGCGCCGUUACACUUCGAAAGUGAAGAACAAUUUUAAGCAAACAAAGGAUGGAAAAAAAGAAUGGAUAGUCCAAAGCUACAUUCCCUGGUGAGUUGUAAGUAUUGCUACUUAUCUAACUUGGACAAUUCCUGCAUUAAUCAAUUUCUGGAUCUUGUCCAUUACAAGAGGGUUCUUCAUAUGAUCUUGUGCAGCUUUUGGGUUCUCCUGGAAGUCACUUAGCACCUGUCUCAUUACUGGGUCCGUAAGGAUGUUUUGAAUUUCUGGAUCUUGCAUCCCCUUAGCCUGUCUUUCUUUGAGCUCCUCUGGAGUCAGAUCUCCACGACUUGCCUUGUUUAUUUGCUCAACACAUCUCUUAACACCAUCUAGGAGUUCCUGAUUCUGAGGAUCAAGCUUCAAUCCUUCCUGGUAAGUUUUCAAAGCUUUUUCAUACUCUUUCAUGAAAAACUGAACAGCACCCUUCCUGGUGUAACCCUUUACGAAUGUUGGAUCGAGCUCAAUGCACUUCUCAGCAUCCUUGAGCCCCUCGGGUAAUGCACCUAGCUUGGUGUAGCAGGCAGCCCGGUUGCUAUAAGCCUUCGGGUCUUUGGGAUUCCUCUUUAUUGAUUCAGUAUAAUGUUUAACUGCUUCUGGAUACUUCAUCUCCUUGAAUAACUGAUUUCCUUUCUCACGCUCUUCGUCUGCUAUUUGUGGAUUGAAAUACUCUUGCUGCUCCAAUUCCUUUUUCGCCCUCUCAGCUUCAUUCAGUUUCUUAAGGGUAUCCGGAUUGCGAUGCUCGGUCAGAGCUUUCUGGAAAACCUCAAUUGCAGCUUCAAAAUCCUUUGAACUUUUAGCCAACUUUGCCAAGGCAGUUCCCUUGCGAGUCAGAGCCCUUGCGAUCAUCUUAUAGUCGGACCUUAGCUCUCGCCCUCUUUCAACAGCUGUGUCACAAUCUUUGAUGCAUUCCUCAUACUUUCCCAUCUCCAAGUAGACAGCAGCGCGGUUAGUAAUAAAGGAUAUGUCUCCAUCAUCAAGCUCAAUAGCCUUAGUGUAGUGCUGAAUUGCAGUCUCAAAAUCCUUCUUUUUGUAAGCUGCAUUACCCGCCUCUUUCUCCUUCUGUGCUUUCGCUUUCUUCUCUUUAAUUUCCUUCUCCUCCUCAGACACUUCCAUUGGCUCCGGCUCUGGUUCAGGCUCGGGACGCUUCUCCUCCUUCACAUGCUCCGUCUCUGCUGGUCUCUUCCUCUCCGUUGAAGCUUCCGGCAUCUCAUCGUCCUCCUCUGGCAUCCUCGUCGACAAUUUCACACCUAACAAAACUCCAAGUGCUUGCAUUACCCUCUGAUCCUUCAAAUAAAGGUUCAAAUUACUCGGGUUCUUCUGAAUAUCCUUCAUCAUGUUAACAAAAUCAGGCUGUUGCAAAUAACCCCUUGUACUCGCAUCCGCAGUCAACUUAGUCCACAUCUCCGGACCGGAAAACGCAUCACCAAACGGGCUGGGCGGAACCGCCGGACCACGAGAUCGAGCCUGAGCUGAUUGAGCAUCAGCAAGACCCGAUUUUAAACCCUCAUUAUUCGGAUCAAUCUCAAGCCCCUUCUUGUAAGCAGAAACCGCAUCUUCAUAAUGGUGAAGUCCAGAAUGUGCGGCACCCAAACGAGAAUACCCUUUCGCCCAAUCGGGUUUUAGGUCAACUGUUUUCUGUGCAUCGGAUAAAGCAUCGGAAUAUUUCCCUAAUGAAGCGUAUGCAGCAGAUCGGUUAGAGUAAAGAACAUGAUUGGUGGGAGCAAGAUUGAUGGCUUCAGUGAAAUGGUUAAUAGCGUCGGUGAAAUUGCCGGCGGAGAAAGCUGCGUUACCUUUGGCCUUAGCUUCAUCAGCCAUGGCUGCUGAUUUACAGGAAUUUAUUUGAAGAAAUCUGAAGAAGAAUUGGAGUGAAGGGAUUAAAGAUUUUGAGUUUUUAGGGCUUUAUAAAAGAGGGGUUUGUGUGGUAGUGGGGACUAGAGGGUUCUU